rnacentral:rRNA from 1 species
AUUGAACGCUGGCGGCAGGCCUAACACAUGCAAGUCGAACGGUAGCACAGAGAGCUUGCUCUCGGGUGACGAGUGGCGGACGGGUGAGUAAUGUCUGGGAAACUGCCCGAUGGAGGGGGAUAACUACUGGAAACGGUAGCUAAUACCGCAUAAUGUCGCAAGACCAAAGGGGGGGACCUUCGGGCCUCUUGCCAUCGGAUGUGCCCAGAUGGGAUUAGCUUGUUGGUGAGGUAAUGGCUCACCAAGGCGACGAUCCCUAGCUGGUCUGAGAGGAUGACCAGCCACACUGGAACUGAGACACGGUCCAGACUCCUACGGGAGGCAGCAGUGGGGAAUAUUGCACAAUGGGCGCAAGCCUGAUGCAGCCAUGCCGCGUGUGUGAAGAAGGCCUUCGGGUUGUAAAGCACUUUCAGCGGGGAGGAAGGCGAUACGGUUAAUAACCGUGUUGAUUGACGUUACCCGCAGAAGAAGCACCGGCUAACUCCGUG